GACGAACGCUGGCGGCGUGCUUAACACAUGCAAGUCGAACGGAAAGGCCCUGCUUUUGUGGGGUGCUCGAGUGGCGAACGGGUGAGUAACACGUGAGUAACCUGCCCUUGACUUUGGGAUAACUUCAGGAAACUGGGGCUAAUACCGGAUAGGAGCUCCUGCUGCAUGGUGGGGGUUGGAAAGUUUCGGCGGUUGGGGAUGGACUCGCCGCUUAUCAGCUUGUUGGUGGGGUAGUGGCUUACCAAGGCUUUGACGGGUAGCCGGCCUGAGAGGGUGACCGGCCACAUUGGGACUGAGCUACGGCCCAGACUCCUACGGGAGGCAGCAGUGGGGAAUAUUGCACAAUGGGCGGAAGCCUGAUGCAGCAACGCCGCGUGCGGGAUGACGGCCUUCGGGUUGUAAACCGCUUUCGCCUGUGACGAAGCGUGAGUGACGGUAAUGGGUAAAGAAGCACCGGCUAACUACGUG
rnacentral:rRNA from 1 species